GACGGAAGGUGCAAGCGUUGCUCGGAAUCACUGGGCGUAAAGGGUGCGUAGGCGGUGCCGUAAGUCGGAUGUGAAAUCCCGGGGCUUAACCCCGGAACUGCAUUCGAUACUGCGGUGCUCGAGGACUGGAGAGGAGAUUGGAAUUCACGGUGUAGCAGUGAAAUGCGUAGAUAUCGUGAGGAAGACCAGUGGCGAAGGCGGAUCUCUGGACAGUUCCUGACGCUGAGGAGCGAAAGCGUGGGGAGCGAACAGG
rnacentral:rRNA from 1 species